rnacentral:rRNA from 1 species
AGAGUUUGAUCCUGGCUCAGGAUGAACGCUAGCGACAGGCUUAACACAUGCAAGUCGAGGGGCAGCAUGGUUUGUAGCAAUACAGAUUGAUGGCGACCGGCGCACGGGUGAGUAACGCGUAUGCAACUUACCUAUCAGAGGGGGAUAGCCCGGCGAAAGUAAGACUAAUACCCAAUGACGUCUCUAGAAGACAUCUGAAAGAGAUUAAAGAUUUAUCGGUGAUGGAUGGGGAUGCGUCUGAUUAGCUUGUUGGCGGGGUAACGGCCACAAGGCGACGAUCAGUAGGGGUUCUGAGAGGAAGGUCCCCANAUUGGAACUGAGACACGGUCCAAACGUCCUACGGGAGGCA